GGUUGUUCGGUUUGGUCUCGUCAGUAACUGUGAGUAUUACAUCAGGUACUUCAUGAUAUUUGAUAUCGCAGUGCCUUUUGUGAUAAUCACAAAGACAUGACGCAAGAAAUCAACUUCUGAU
rnacentral:precursor_RNA from 10 species